UAGGAAUUUUGCGCAAUGGGGGAAACCCUGACGCAGCAACGCCGCGUGAGUGAUGAAGGCCUUCGGGUUGUAAAGCUCUUUUAGCAGGAAAGAAAUAAAUGACGGUACCUUCAGAAAAAGCACCGGCUAACUCUGUGCCAGCAGCCGCGGUAAUACAGAGGGUGCAAGCGUUAUUCGGAUUUACUGGGCGUAAAGGGCGCGUAGGUGGUUUUCUAAGUUUGAUGUGAAAUACCUCGACUCAAUCGGGGAAGUGCAUUGAAUACUGGAAGACUAGAGUUUAGGAGAGGAGAGCGGAAUUCCUGGUGUAGAGGUGAAAUUCGUAGAUAUCAGGAGGAACAACGAAGGCGAAGGCAGCUCUCUGGACUAAUACUGACACUGAGGCGCGAAAGCGUGGGGAGCAAAC
rnacentral:rRNA from 1 species